rnacentral:rRNA from 1 species
UACGAAGGGGGCUAGCGUUGUUCGGAUUUACUGGGCGUAAAGCGCACGUAGGCGGAUCGUUAAGUCGAGGGUGAAAUCCUGGAGCUCAACUCCAGAACUGCCUUCGAUACUGGCGAUCUAGAGUCCGGAAGAGGUGAGUGGAACUCCUAGUGUAGAGGUGGAAUUCGUAGAUAUUAGGAAGAACACCAGUGGCGAAGGUGACUCACUGGUCCGGUACUGACGCUGAGGUGCGAAAGCGUGGGGAGCAAACAGG